rnacentral:sRNA from 1 species
GUUCCAAACAACCUCUUAUAGAUAUCACACUAAACAUUACUAAAAGAGAUCAAUGCCCAUUAUAAAACAUCAAAAUAGAGAGAUACAUAUUUCACAGAACAUCACCGUAGAAAUUCAUUAAAUUUAAGAGUUUACUCGCUCGUAUCAUCCAAUACGGUUGGUUUUUCUCUUAAACGAUUCUUAAGCGUCGAGAGUCUUUUGAAGGCCGAAUAACCUUUGAUAAUAUAUUCCGUAAUGCAUACUUUAUUACGCUCAAAAUUCUUCAUUACAUUUGCAAUUUUAUUAUGUUGUGUUUCAUUU